GGUCGAGUAGUAUAGCGGUUAGAACACAGGUUUCACACCCGAAAGGAUCUGAUCACCUGAGAUCCGGGUUCGACUCCCGGCUCGACUA
rnacentral:tRNA from 1 species